rnacentral:rRNA from 1 species
UACGUAGGGGGCGAGCGUUGUCCGGAAUUAUUGGGCGUAAAGCGCACGCAGCGGUUCGCCAAGUUCGGGGUGACAAUCACCGGCUUAACCGGUGAACGACUUCGAAAACUGGUGGACUUGAGAGCGAGAGAGGGACAUGGAACUCCGGGGUGGAGCAGUGAAAUGCGUAGAGAUCCGGAAGAACACCAAGGCGAAGGCAGUGUCCUGGCUCGUAACACGCUUUAUUCCGA